rnacentral:rRNA from 3 species
AAACCGCUUAGAGGUAAACGGGUGGAUCCGCAAAGUCGGCCCGGGGAAUUCAACUUGCCGUUUGGGCUGUGGGCGCCUUGUCAGGGAUCCGUAAAGACCCGCCUGGUGUUCGGCAGUCGUCGGCGAGUGCACUUUCCUCGGGUAGAGCGCCACGACCGGUUUCGGAGCGGUCAUAAGCCGGCUGGGAAGGUGACUUCCUCCUCGGAGGAAGUGUUAUAGCCCGGCCAGGUCGGCUCGUUCCGAGACCGAGGAUUUGCCGCGUCUCACUGCCCUCGGCUCUCUUGGUGCGUUCGACUGGGGAAGCACUGCUUGCAGUUCUCUCCGACUGCGUGCCUUGAUCGGUCGGGAAGCACGAGGCGCUUCGGGUCAGUGGCGAAUCGGUCGGUCCUCCACCCGACCCGUCUUGAAACACGGACCAAGGAGUCUAACAUGUGCGCAAGUCAUGGGGUUCUGUACGAAACCUAAAGGCGCAAUGAAAGUGAAGGUCAACCUCCGGUCGGCCUAGGUAGGACCCCCGCGAGGGGCGCACUACCGGCCCGUCUCGACCACAUCGUUGGUGGGGCGGAGCAAGAGCGUACACGUUGGGACCCGAAAGAUGGUGAACUAUGCCUGAGUAGGACGAAGCCAG